GCACUGCUGAAGAGUCCCACAAUAGGACGGAACGGCUGUCCAAUGC
rnacentral:hammerhead_ribozyme from 1 species